UUGCUUCCCAGCCUGGAAACAACUGUAGUGCAGUUGGACUUGACGUCUAGCAACACAACAUCACAGACUUUAAACAAGCUGACACGGCGGCUUAGCACGUUAGCGACUGCAUUUACAGCUGGGGUGCCAGCGUGAGAGCGCCUGAGUAGCUCGUGCUGAGCUUGGGACUGCAGCAACGGGACAAAAGACACAGGAGGAAAAAGAGGGGAAGAGAAAAUAUUGGGAGAAUAAGCCAGCAAAAGGGCAAGGAUAAUCAGAGGAGACAGCAUGCUGGUGAGGGCUGAGUUUAAAAGAUAAACCUGACUCUGGAGGAGAGACGGAUAGAUUCAGAUUCUUUAGUUCAUAAGCAGUGCAGAGGCUCAUCCACCGCCAGAUAGACUGAAAGGUUGAGACACAGCCAAGAAUUCAUGUUGCUGGCCAUGGCUGUAGGCCUGCUGCUGGGAGGAUAGAGUUCAGAUCAACCACACCCACACUCCAACCUCCAUCCUUUUCUAACUUGACCCCAAAAGUAGCUCAAACCCAAAAACAAUCCGUCCAUCUCUUUCAUUUGUGCUCCUCUUCCACUUAGCCAUCACUAUAUUUCCUCAGUCUACUUUCAGAAGACAGCGAAAUCCUCAUACAAGCUAGUGAAGCAGGCAGCAGCGUAGUCAGAGAACUAAGGUGACCAUACGAGCUGUCGCUGAGCAGAGGAAAGACAAGCGCCCGCCGUGAGGUUUGACAGGCAGCGGCCUUUUAUUCAAGCACAUGGGCUGUUGAUGAAGAAAGAUGGCAGUGAGACUGGCAGGCGCCGCCCCUUCCUCUCGGCCACCCUCCCUCCCCCCAGCGGCCGUGGCUCGGACUGGUUAAGGUUGGUCUAUUGGCAUCCAUCGCAGCAUCGGCAGCAGCUAGCAGUGCGUGGGAAGGAGCAGUAUGCAGGAAACUGAUUUACCAGCCACCAAUGCCUUCAAAGAGUGCAAGUUCCACUGCACCAAUGGGAAUUGCUUGCGUCUGGGCUCGCUGAUCUGCAACCAGCUGAAUAACUGUGGGGACAACAGCGAUGAGGAGAACUGCCCCGUGGUCACCCAGCACCCUCCGCCGGGCAUCUUUAACUGUGAGUGCUGCAGGAUGCUGCUACACCUCUGAGCCUCGCACAGCCAGACGACACAACCUGCUUCUCUUCCCUCCCUCAUCCUCCUCGCUCUAAUGUCUCUCCUGUCUGCUGUUUCUAUUCUCUUUCUCCUGGGGGCUCUUCUCCUUCCCCAGCGAGCCAGUCUGAUGUAGAG